GAUGAUAUAGCUCGGUGGUAGAGUGCAUGUCCAGCAUGCAUGAGGUCCUGGAUUCAAUCCCCAGUACUUCCA
rnacentral:tRNA from 1 species